CCAGACCUGCCUCCCAAUUUUCGGUGAGUGGUGUAGCCCUGGGCGGCGUACAAAGUGUGCGACGGCGGCGCUUACCCCUGUUGCGCGCCUCCUUACCUCCAGUUUCCCGGUUAGCGCGCGCGGGGACCGCCACCCCACCCCUCCCUUCCCCGGCGGCGCGUGCCCGUGGAGCUAGGUGUCGGCAAGACUAAUUAAUCGCGACGCCUGGAAAGGGUUUCGCUCUUGCGGUGAGAGGCGCUGUGCGAGCGCAAAGCCAGCCCUACCGCCAAGGAGCAGGAGGCGGGCGGCGCGCCGGCGACGAGCGCGCGAGAGCCUGAGCGGCGGUGGCCGGAGGCCGCAGAGUUGGUGCGCGGCGGCGUCCUCCCAGGCCGGAGGGGUGGAGGGCCGAGGGGUGUCCUGGAGGCCCGCGGCCCGGCCCGGGCACUGCGGGGGAGUCCCUGCAACAGACGGAGAAGUAGUUUAUUGACCACGAAUUUGUUGGAAAACUCUCAAGUGUCCCCACCCCAGGACGUGGUAGGAGCGCACUGGGGUUCAGGGCAGCGACGCUAAAGUUCCUCAGAGCCGUCGCUCACUUUUCCUGGGACCCCGGAUGAGUCACUUGCUGCCACACGGGUGUCUGCUUGGGUACAGUUCAUUCUUUCAUUCAUUCAUUCAUCCAUUCAACAGGUGGUCGGGCCAUGUGGCCCACCUGGCGCCCAGGUGAUAAGGCUAAUAAGACUCGGCGACUGCCUUGGGUGCGUGGCCGGCCUACCUGCCAGGAAACCCAGACGGGCAAAGUGGUGAUGAAACUGUCUCCCUUACUUUUGGCCUUAUCUCACUUUCUCAACAGUCAGGAAAGCGUGGGGUGGCUAGGGAAAAAGGAAGGAAGGAAGCCCACCUGUAAACGGAAACACGCUUACCAUACCUAGGGGUACCGGGAGGGGUGGGGGCUGUGGAUCCUUCCAGAGGCCUUGAGUACACUGUCUGUAACAUUCUAAGUUUUCUUUAAAAGCAGAAGGACACUGUUAACCAUUCAACUGAACUACUGAAAUCCCCCUUUGCCGAAAAGUAAGAAGACGCGGAGAGAAAGAGAGGUUACCUAUUAUUUCUCUUGGCCCCGUCAGGUAACAUCUCUAUCCCUGCUCUACAAGGCCCCCCCCCUCCCCUUUUUUUUUUUAUGGCUCUGAAAGACAACGGAGGGCAACGCAAAGUCGCUAAAGACCCUGGGCACGAAGAACAGGAAGCAAAAGACGCUCCGGACCCUCAAAACCUGCAGCUGCUAGGCCUCCGAGGGCCUCCGACCUUCUCCAACCUCCGCGAACUGCUGAGCGCGCCUUCCCACCGCCCACGCACGCAGACGGAGCCACGUCUCCCAUGACACUUCCGGCUGCGGCCUGGCCUCCCUUCCACCCCAAAAUGCACCUUCUUCUGAAAAGAGGUCCAAAGAGGUAUGUUGGAGGUUAAUGCUUUUCCCCUAAACCCAAGUGGAUGAAGAUGGUAAAGGGAUAGACCCAAAUGCGCCUAGAGGCCGCUUGGACGGGAAGGCCUCACGGGCAAGGAUUCCGCGGCUUUUUGAAGGGGUCACGGCUCACUCACAAUCAUUCACCGACUAGCCCCGAAACGACUGGUUAUCUUCCCCUAUUCAAUAAAAACUUCUUGAUUGAAUUUGACGAACUGAUCGUCAUUUUUGAAAACUGGCAAAGACGGAUAAGGAGGAGGAACAGGCCAGAAGUUUCUGAUACGCUCCAUUUGUUCAAAAGCAUCUUCCUUCCUGCUUCUGAUGUGGCAAAACACAAAUACACUGUAUUUAAGAGGAACAAGCUAAAGGGUAACCAAUACAGACGGCCUCCAUACUUCUGCCAAUAGCUACACAUCACUGGGGUGACUCUACUGCUGAGUCUUCUUAUUUGGAAAUCCUGGAGCUGGGUUACCGUCUCCCCCCUUCUCGAUAAACAUCACACCUGAACUCUGAAAGGGGUGAAGCUGUCCCAUGUCACACACAGACACAUAUUCCAGGCAAAGGCACAAUGGGGGCUAUUGUCCCAGAAACGUAUCCAGCAAGGUCAGGGCUUCACUCACUUCGACUUCUAACCCAGCAGGCCACCCUCCAGGGGUUUCUGUUUUGUUUCGGCAUAGGCUUCACCUAUAUGGCGUUGUGGCCACUGGCGGACACACAAGGCAUUUACUUUGUAAAUAAAUGACAGCAGGUGGAAUCAAGGGUUUACAGGAGGCGCACAACUCAGCUUUCACGACUUGUACCGCGUGGAUUAAUUGCAGAUGGCCGGUUCAUUUAUUAAGACCCAGGUGACAGAAGGGCCCAGCGAUCGGGAGGACAAACUGCUUUGGGGGUCCAUUUACAUAAAAUGAGAAGAUCGGAUUAUUGAUGAACUCCCCCCCCCCCCCACUUCCUCAAUUGUAAAUUAUGACUUGCCAACGAUGGCAGGCUAAUGGAAGCGACCGCGGAAAGAAAGGAAGUUGGCCACCUGGAGAAAGCAAUACCUGUACUAUGCAGGGUUGCAGUGACCUAACGCCAAGAGAUGAAAUCUCUAGAAAACUAGCCCUUCACGUGUACGAGACGCAAACACCUUGGGGGUGGGGGCCGCGGGGCAUCGGCUCCACGGAGUCCGUGGGUCCCCUCUGGGGUGAGAAGCCAGCGGUCACCUGCGAAGGCAGCGGAUUUUCAUGGGAACUUGGCAGCAGUGGAGGAAGCCAAGUAAGGCUCCAGACCAAACCUUGGGCGUUCUGGGCUGAUGUCAGCAUGCUGGUUAGAGGGCCACUCUGGAAUGUCAGUCUGGCCUGGGCACAGUUGACUACUCCCACGGGGUGUCCCGGUCUACAGAGGGAAGGCAGGCGGCCAGGCUUUUUGUCGAGCCGACAUGGAUCCUUCACAAGGCUUUCCUUGGUCCGUCCCCCGUGUGCACUGGGCCCCUGUCUCUUGGCAAGAUGGGGCUGAUGGUAGGGGACCAGCUCCAGAUGCUGCCACUGUGGAGACUGGUUCUAGUAACGCUGCUUCUAAGAAGAUGGUGGAAGGUGUCAAGCGGCUGAAAGCAGCGUCAGGCUUUUUUGCUUCCUACCCUUCACAGGUAAUCUCUGCCUCGUGAGCACCGGGAUUCCCUUCAUAAUUGGCUCCCCAGAGCUGGAUCCCACAGAGCAGAGCCGUGAAAGAACCUUUCCAAGGAAGCUGAUAUAAAACUUAGUUGGGACCCAAAGACCUCUAAUCCGCAAGUUAAAUGGACACUUCGUUUACUCACAGCCACUAAAAGUCUAGGAAAACCUAACUGACCCCCAAUUCCUACUAUGAUGUUAUUAACCCAGUGCCUCAGGGGGGCGCCCCAGAGCAGGGUAACUGAAAAUCAUCCUCCGCCUUAAAAGAGAGUCUCUUAGAUGGUUUGCUAUUAAUUAGGUCAGCAAGCACUCUAAACACAUCAUUUCAAUGAGCUGGCUGAAUGCAAAACGUGGGAAAACCAAAUUGUUGACUGACUGACGUGAUCCCCAAGGACACUUAAUGUUGGAAUCUUAGAUAUAAAAUACCUGUGUAUUCCCUUUACCUUACACGUUCUUAAAUGUGUUCAAUAAACGUGUUUUCCUCAACCUGGCGUAACGUCACCACGUUAUCUGCGAGAUUUACUGACGGUACAGAAUGCAGAGAGGGGACUCGGUAAAAAGAAAGAGGAAAAAGGACCAAAGGAGGGAAGCCUGCCGCAAAAAACCUCGUCUCUAAAAUGGAUGCCAAAGGCAGGAGAUUUGGGGAGAGAAAACACGCGUCGCUUCUAAAACAUGUAGAGCCAAACAGCACGUCUUGCAAAUGAAAAAAUUUUUGAAAGCUAUAGCGGCACGCAAACCCCAGGGAAACAAACGAGAAAAAUCACUCUCAUUUAUCGUAAUUGAACCCUUGCUUAACCUUCCUUCCAAUACCUGGUAAUUCUGUGAAAUCACCCAGCUGUCAUUCUCUUCCUUUCAGAAACGUGACAUUGAUUUGUCCGGCAAACACCCAUUAUUAGAAUUCUGAGGUCUGCCUAAUGGGGCUACUAAUAAAUCUAAGUCAUCAA